CCCUUAGACGUUCUGGGCCGCACGCGCGCUGCACUGAACAGUUCAACAAGUCUUAACCUUGGCCGAUAGGUCUGGGUAAUCUUUGAACGCUGUUCGUGAUUGGGAUAGACCUUUGCAAUUAUGGGUCUUCAACGAGGAAUUCCUAGUAAACGCAAGUCAUCAGCUUGCAUUGAUUACGUCCCUGCCCUUUGUACACACCGCCCGUCGCACCUACCGAUUGAAUGGUCCGGUGAAAUCUCGGGACGGCGGCUUGGUCGCUUGCGUCCGACUGCUGAAACUUGAUUAAACCAUAUCAUUUAGAGGAAGGUGAANUCGUAACA
rnacentral:rRNA from 1 species